CAAAAGUCAAGACACCUGGGACCCGGGUGUGGUGGUGUACACCUUUCAUCCCAGCACCGGGGCCGCUGAGACAGGAGGAUCUAAAUUCCAGCCCAGCCUGGGCAAUUUAGUGGGACCCUGUCUCCAGACAGGGCUGGGCAUAUAGCUCAGGGUGAAGGCUCUAAAUUCGAUCCUCAAUACCGGUAAAAAAAGCGGGAAAGAGAUAAACCCUCCCAGGUCACGCCCACAGUAAACCCCCCCUUAGGAACAGCAAAUCAGCUUUAACAUCCUGUCACCCACUCCCAUGAGCCUUUGGGGGCCACUGUCUUUCUAUGCCCUGACAGAGGGUAUCAGGGUUAAAUGUGUGACCCCAACCCUCAAGAAAUUCAGAGUCUAGGGAGACCCCAAGGAGAACCAGAUAAGAAUGGCCAGAUAAAUGCUACCGGAAGCAGGCAAAGAUACCUGAGCAGCCCACCCCCCAUUCAGCAGGAGCCUGAGCCCAUCAGCAGCGUGCUCCAGGGAGGCGACAUUCUUGCCUUGGCCAUAAAGAAGAGGACUUGAAGAAAG
rnacentral:lncRNA from 1 species